CCCCAUUUUUUAAGUAAUCGUAAUUUUUAUUCGAAAUAACUGCGAGUUUUAUAAAAUAGAAAACCGUGGAUCUAUGAUGCAAUUGACAUAGACAUACACCUUACAAUGACUUAUCACUUCCCUCCACUUUUGGCAUUAAAGCAAAGUGGCCAACCUCUUGCCGUGACAAUAUCGUUCUAGCCAGUGUCUCGCCGUUCAUUUUUCCUUUUUUUCUCAUUUGUAUUUUCAAUAAGUGUUUCUUGUCUUC
rnacentral:lncRNA from 1 species